rnacentral:ncRNA from 10 species
AUCGUUCAGUCCCAUAAGGGACCGCAAGUAAGCCGACACGGAACGGA